CUUUUUCUUCUCCUCCGCCCGAACCCCUCUCCUUCUCGUGCGAUUUGUGCCGAGUCUGCCGACGUCGCACCUCUUCUCGCGCGUUGCCCCACACCAGAUGCCGACUGCCCUUCCUUCUCAUCUCUUCUCCUAUUUCUUCCCCGCCGAACCUUUCCUUCUCCUCUUCUCAUCGCUGAACUUCCUCUUCUCUCCCAAGCCGCACGCUGCCGUCGACCACCUCUUCUCCUUCUCCUUCUCCCCUCUCCUCUUCGCGCAACCGCCAACCACCACCUGAUCGAGAGGCAAGCCUCGCCGGUCAGGGUCCGAUGCUGGCCAGUAGACCUCCAGCCAGCCAAGAGUCACCCUAACUCCGACAAAGAGGUGAAAAGGGUUUGCCCUUCUCUGCGUCGCCACCACCGCCUAGCUCCGAUGUCGCUGGAUCAGUGGUUUCCACCCAGGCCGCCGGCUAUGGAUCUGCUCCGCCUCCUAGCAGUGGCUACUACUCCUCUCUGUCACGAGACGUCGUGAUGCUGUUGAUUGCUGGCACUAGCUAAGGCGUAGCCGACGGUCACUGCUCUUCUAGCCAUAAGAAGAUCCAUAGUUGCGGCAAUGCUAUCUGAAUUUUGAUGACCACGGUAGACUGGUGAUCCUUGAGGUGGUGAGAGAUGAUGGACAGAGUUACUAUUGUUGGAUAAGGAGCCAAGCUAUGAGCCGUAGAGGACGUUGAUUUGAGAUGGGCGUCUCAACAUGGAGAUAGAUCAAUAUGGUCUAUAUUGAGGCGGGUACCUCUUGACUUAUCUUUUAUGAUAUUGUCACUUUGAUAUGCAUAGUAAUUUAUAGCUAGUAGCAAUGAUCAUACUUAGAUUUGCCCUUGGUAGGUCACUAUUUGAUACCUAUUGUAUGUCAUGUUUGUUGCCUGUUAUGUAUCCAUAUUUAUAACUCUUGAUUAUUGUCAUGUGUACCUUAGUUCCUAGAGAAAGUAACAUACUAGGCUUCACUGGUAUAGGACUAGUUUCUAGAUUUUAUUAUCUGGCAUGUGUACUUAGGUUGUUGAUACCUAAACCAUCGUCUGAUUUAUUUCCUUUUAGUGCAUUUUAUAUGGAGGGUAUACGGUUUAUAUCUACAUGUUUAGUGUCAUGCACCAUCUUGCAUGAUUGUAUACUGGCGAUAGUCAGCUCCAUUAUUGUUGAGCGCAUCACCAGUUACAUGAUCUGCACACAUAACCACUCAUGAGUUAGUGGUACAUCAGACAGGGUGUGUGUCGUUUGCUCUGUCAGGGCUCCGCUCAUCGGCUCCUGGGUAGCGAUGACUGUAGCGUGUAGAGGGCAGGGAUCCCUCCCCUAGGAUACAGGGAGAUGAGAGCUUAGGCUCCCCCACUAUGUUGGGGUAGGAGGAUAGGCGUACUCCGACAGCAUCCUGUCCACUCGGUCACUCAGGAGCAGUGAUGACAAAGUGCACAGUUGUCAUAGCCCUACCCACUCGGUCUCACCAUCACGUGUGAGAUGGUUGACUGGUGUCAGGGGUGACACAUGUCAUUUUUGCAUCAUAUGCAUUGAUUGCGUUUAUGGUUUGUGAUUGAUGCACUUUGUUUGCUGCAUUUUGGUGGUUGCAUAUGAUUGAUAUGCAUACAGGAGACAUGAGGUAUUUUGUCUAACGAUCGUAUGUUCCGGAUAGGAGGCCCUGGUGAGUACAGUUUCUUCAGCCUUUACAGUCUGCAUUUCCUACUUUAUUCAGGAAACUGUACUACAUGAUUAUUUCUGUUAGUUAUAUCUUACUAGGCAUGUCAGCUUGAUAUCCGCUGAGUUCUUUGAACUCACACCGUUGAGCUAUUUCUAUUUCAGGUAGCAGGUAGAUUUUUAGAGUCGCUUGGAGUAUCCUGUCUGCCGAUUCCCACGUCACAUCCGAAGACCACUUCGAGUUUCAUUUACGCUUUUCGUGUAUUUGGUAUUUAGUGUUGUUAUUGUGUUUUGU